GGGCUCGCACAAGCGGUGGAGCAUGUGGUUUAAUUCGAAGCAACGCGAAGAACCUUACCAAGGCUUGACAUCCCUAUAGAUAUGGCAGAGAUGUCAUAGGAUUUUUAGGAAUCGAUAGGUGACAGGUGGUGCAUGGUUGUCGUCAGCUCGUGUCGUGAGAUGUUGGGUUAAGUCCCGCAACGAGCGCAACCCUUAUUAUUAGUAGCUAGCAGGUGAGCUGAGCACUCUAAUGAGACUGCCGUGGAUAACACGGAGGAAGGUGGGGAUGACGUCAAAUCAUCAUGCCCCUUAUGUCUUGGGCUACACACGUGCUACAAUGGCUUCAACAAAGUGAAGCGAAGAGGCAACUUGGAGCAAAUCAACAAAAAGAAGUCUUAGUUCGGAUUGUAGUCUGCAACUCGACUACAUGAAGCUGGAAUCGCUUUAGAAUCGCAGAUCAGCAUGUUG
rnacentral:rRNA from 1 species